UACGUAGGGUCCGAGCGUUGUCCGGAGUUACUGGGCGUAAAGCGCGCGCAGGCGGCUUGAUAAGUCUGGCGUGAAAGCCCCCGGCUCAACCGGGGAGGGUCGUCGGAGACUGUUGAGCUUGAGGGCGGUAGGGGCUGGUGGAAUUCCCGGUGUAGUGGUGAAAUGCGUAGAGAUCAGGCGGAACACCCGUGGCGAAGGCGGCCAGCUGGGCCGUCCCUGACGCUGAGGUGCGAAAGCGUGGGGAGCAAACAGG
rnacentral:rRNA from 1 species